UACGUAGGGGGCAAGCGUUAUCCGGAUUUACUGGGUGUAAAGGGGGCGCAGACGGCGAUGCAAGCCAGGAGUGAAAGCCCGGGGCCCAACCCCGGGACUGCUCUUGGAACUGCGUGGCUGGAGUGCAGGAGGGGCAGGCGGAAUUCCUGGUGUAGCGGUGAAAUGCGUAGAUAUCAGGAGGAACACCGGUGGCGAAGGCGGCCUGCUGGACUGCAACUGACGUUGAGGCCCGAAAGCGUGGGGAGCAAACAGG
rnacentral:rRNA from 1 species